CGAGAUAUCUUCAUUUCCGAAACUGGCCUGUCGAAUGGGGGUGGUGCCGGGAUCUCCAGUCUUUUAUAUUUGUAUUUGAGAGACAUAAAAGAAUAGUGAUGGAACGCCCUGAGUAUGGCUAUGCUACAUAUUUUUUUGAGCUUGUGGAUUCCGUACCCAUCAACUGGCAGAUAAAGCGGUUGGUGAUUGCUAUGAAGCUUACGAGUUGUAGCAGAAUUUCACUACUUGAGAACAG
rnacentral:misc_RNA from 1 species